AACGAACGCUGGCGGCGUGGAUAAGACAUGCAAGUCGAACGGGACUAAAUCUGUAGCAAUACAGGUUUAGUUUAGUGGCGAACGGGUGCGUAACACGUGGGCAAUCUGCCGAGAAGUGGGGGAUAGCUCGCCGAAAGGCGAAUUAAUACCGCAUAUGAUCAGUGAAGACAUCUUCACGACAUCAAAGCCGGGGCAACCUGGCGCUUCUUGAUGAGCCCGCGGCCUAUCAGCUAGUUGGUGAGGUAACGGCUCACCAAGGCUAUGGACGGGUAGCUGGUCUGAGAGGACGACCAGUCACACUGGAACUGAGA
rnacentral:rRNA from 1 species